GGCCGGGCUUGGAGAGCUCCAUCCCGGGAGAGGGGGGCCCGGACCUCGGCCCCUUCCGGGACGGAAGUCCGGAAGGGAGAGAGGGUGCGAGUUGGGACGGGCCGGGAGCGCUCCCGCCUGGGUGAGGGGGUCCCGACCGCCCCCCCUCCAGGUGGAAGUCCUCAAGGGAGCGACCCGCCGGAGUCCGCGGGACCCCGAGGGCUCCUGCCCGGCCAGGGGGGAGGGCGUCCGACCUCCCCCGGUACCCGACGGCGUCCUCGAAAUAUCGCAAAGU